GGCAAAGUGUGCGAAAAGGUGCGGGUCCAACAAAUGGCAGUGGAAUAUGGCCAAAACAAAAUCUUGGUACAGACAAGAAUCGCAAUGCCAGUCCUUCCGUUUCCGGCGAUAAAAAGUCCAGCUUGGUCGAAGCUGUUGAUCCAGCCACCAGCAGCGGCGAUGCCAAACUAAAGCCCAGAUCUAGGUCACUCAUACGCCGUGCUUCACGUAAAACCAAACAGCAAAUCAACAACGCGUCCGAUGACUGUAAUUUGCAAUAAAGCAGCGGAAGGAGGCAAGCGUGAAAGGUUGAUUAGGCGAAAAUAUAUAUAAUUAUAUAAUAAACAAUAAAUCACAGAAGCAAACGGACAACAGCAGCAACAAAAGCAUGCAACAAUAAGCAGCAAAAAAAGCAAAGACAAGCGGAAACUCAAAGUUCCAAUUGUCGACACGGGCAUGGGCAAGUGUGUGUAUGUGUGCGUGCUGGUGUUGGUGUGCAAGUAAGUAGGCAUAGACGCGCGUGUGUGUGUGUACAUUGUGAAUAUGUACAAUUUUAAUUAACAGUCGUCAAAGCGAAUUCACCGCAAUGAUCGCGUGAAUGAUGACGCGGAAAAAAUUACACAUUUUGAUAUGAACGCUUAAUUCGAACUACUACACUUAUAUAAUAUAUGAUAAUAACAAAAACAAAACCAGUGUCGUUGAUUAGACGGAAAAUAGCUAUGUUUUUGUUGAUGAAAAUAAGUGAGUGUGUGUGUGUUGUUACAUAUGUUUGUUUGCACAUACAUAAACCUAGUUAUGUAUGUGUGUAUGUAUAGUCAGGCAGUUAUUACGGUUAAAAAGCAACAAAUUAACGGUUUAAAAAAAUUUAAAAAAAAUAUAUGUAAACA